CCUUUUAUGCUUUAACAAUAGUGCCACAGCAUCCUCAACUCCAAGUUCUGGGCCCACGAAGGAAGAUGCCAGUUGCUGAGAGGCAUCUUGUCCAUUUGCUUCAGAUUUCUCAACUAGCUUUCGUUUUCUUAAAAUCAAACCAGGAGCAGCAGACUCAAUAUUAGAUUCUUCUAUUGCCUUCGCAUCACCACUAGUGCCCAAAAUUUUGUUCCUGUCCUUGUAAUCAAUAAAUGGUUCAGACUCAACAUCCA